ensembl:lncRNA LINC01969 long intergenic non-protein coding RNA 1969
GGAGUUAUACUCAGUGGUGGCCAUAGAGAGUUGGUGACUGCCUUUGAGAGGAGAAUGGUUGUGAUCCUUUUGCCGAGAACUCACCCAGAGGACUUAUACCUUGGUGACAGCAGAAGGACUCAAGUUAGAAGAUUAGAAAACUGAGGCCCAGAGAAGGAAAGUAGCUGCCAGAGGUCACACAGCUAGGAUUGAGGGAUCAGAGGGAGAGGGUGCCCCUCCCAGGCAGGGGGCUCUGAAGUGGGGGAGGAAGCCACAGGCAGGCCUGGGAUGAGGUCUUGCUCCCCGAUUGCCAUCGGAAGGAGGCUUCGAAGACUUGCACGCCCCUCACCCAGAUUCUACCUUCCCAAGGCAGAUAGAAUUCCCUGACUUUCUCCCAUUUCCCAGAGUUCCUCCUCCCCCACAAGCUGGCACAUGUGGAUAUUGGCUCUGUUUUGCCUUUGACCCCUAGUGAAAGAAAAUACUGAGACGGAGUCUCGCUCUGUCGCCCAGGUUGGAGUGAAGCGGCUAGAUCUCAGCUCACUGCAACCUCUGCCUCCCAGGACCACAGGUCAUCCUCAAGCCUUCCUCCCAGGCUAUCCUUGUCCCUGAAUACUAAUGUCUAAAGGUCAGCCCAGCUACCAGCAGUGUGCAUGUGAUGUGUCCCAUCUCCCCUUCGGAUUGGAGGAAGAAGCUGUGUCCCUCCCAUCAGACAGACGGUCUCCUUAAAGAUUCUCCUGGUCUCCAGCUUGGGCUCUGCUGGAAAGAAGAGGAAGUAUUUAGCAAGGGUGAAGAUGGGUUCUUACUUCCCUGAGGCAACCAGAGAUAAGAAAAGACCAGAAUAUGAAUAUCCAGCAUUCCACAAAGAAUCCUACAGGCAGGGAUAUUGCCCAAUCACCAGUGCCUCGCAUCCCAGUUCUAUCCAAGAUCCAAGCUUGAUAUCCUCCUGAAAGACUUCCUGAAUCAGGUCACCAACAUGGACAUCUGAACUUCCAGAAUCAGGUCACCGUCUUUCUUCUCAUCUCUGGAUGUAUUUGGAGCUCAUUUGUCUGACGGUUUUUGAAUGCUAUCUUUUAAAAAUAAACUUUUACAAUUUGGGUUUAAUAAUUCUAGAUUUAUAGAAAAGUUGAAAAGAAAGUACAGAAAGUUCCCAUAUAUCCCUUAUCCAGUUCUCUUAAUGUUAACCUCCUACAUCAUCAUGGAACAUUUGCCAAAAUGAAGAUGUCAACACUGGUGCUUUGCUGUGAACUAAACUCCAGACUUUAUUCG